rnacentral:rRNA from 1 species
UACGGGGGGUGCGAGCGUUGUCCGGAAUCACUGGGCGUAAAGGGCGCGUAGGUGGUUUGAUAAGGGUGUGGUGAAAGUCCGGAGCUCAACUCCGGAUCUGCCGUGCCGACUGUCAAACUCGAGGGCUGUAGAGGCAGACGGAAUUCCGGGUGUAGCGGUGGAAUGCGUGAGAGAUCCGGAGGAAGACCGGUGGCGAAGGCGGUCUGCUGG